UACCAGCACCCCGAGUGGUCGGGACGAUUAUUGGGCCUAAAGCAUCCGUAGCCGGUUCUGCAAGUCCCCCGUUAAAUCCAGCUGCUCAACAGAUGGGCCGCGGAGGAUACUAUAGAGCUAGGAGGCGGGAGAGGCAAGCGGUACUCGAUGGGUAGGGGUAAAAUCCGUUGAUCCAUUGAAGACCACCAGUGGCGAAGGCGGCUUGCCAGAACGCGCUCGACGGUGAGGGAUGAAAGCUGGGGGAGCAAUCCGG
rnacentral:rRNA from 1 species